rnacentral:rRNA from 1 species
UACGAAGGGGACUAGCGUUGUUCGGAAUUACUGGGCGUAAAGCGCACGUAGGCGGAUUGUUAAGUGAGGGGUGAAAGCCCAGGGCUCAACCCUGGAACUGCCUCUCAUACUGGCAAUCUUGAGUUCGGAAGAGGUAAGUGGAAUUGCGAGUGUAGAGGUGAAAUUCGUAGAUAUUCGCAGGAACACCAGUGGCGAAGGCGGCUUACUGGUCCGAAACUGACGCUGAGGUGCGAAAGCGUGGGGAGCAAACAGG